UUUAAUGGCCGUGGUAUUUUGACCGUGCUAAGGUAGCAUAAUCAUUAGUUUUUUAAUUGGAAUCUGGAAUGAAAGGUUGAAUAAGAAAAUAACUGUCUCUAUUUAAAUUUUGUAGAAUUUUAUUUUUAAGUUAAAAAGCUUAAUUAUAAUUAAAAGACGAGAAGACCCUUUAGAGUUUAAUUAUUUAUUAAUUUUUUUUAUUUUAGAAUUUAUAUUUAAAUAUUAUAAAAUAAUUUGAUUGGGGUGAUUAAAAAAUUUAAUUAACUUUUUUUAUAUAAUAACAUUAAUUUAUGAAUUUUUGAUCCAAUAUUUUUGAUUAUAAGAUUAAAUUACCUAAGGGAUAACAGCGUAAUUUUUUUAGAAAGUU
rnacentral:rRNA from 1 species